UACGGAGGUGGCAAGCGUUGCUCGGAAUCACUGGGCGUAGAGGGCGCGUAGGCGGGGAGGUAAGUCGGGUGUGAAAUCCCUCGGCCCAACCGAGGAACUGCGCCCGAGACUGCUUCUCUUGAGUCCCGGAGAGGAAGAUGGAAUUCCCGGUGUAGCGGUGAAAUGUGUAGAGAUCGGGAGGAACACCGGUGGCGAAGGCGGUCUUCUGGACGGUGACUGACGCUGAGGCGCGAAAGCGUGGGGAGCAAACGGG
rnacentral:rRNA from 1 species